rnacentral:rRNA from 1 species
CUGGCGGCGUGCCUAAUACAUGCAAGUCGAACGCUUCUUUUUCCACCGGAGCUUGCUCCACCGGAAAAAGAGGAGUGGCGAACGGGUGAGUAACACGUGGGUAACCUGCCCAUCAGAAGGGGAUAACACUUGGAAACAGGUGCUAAUACCGUAUAACAAUCAAAACCGCAUGGUUUUGAUUUGAAAGGCGCUUUCGGGUGUCGCUGAUGGAUGGACCCGCGGUGCAUUAGCUAGUUGGUGAGGUAACGGCUCACCAAGGCCACGAUGCAUAGCCGACCUGAGAGGGUGAUCGGCCACAUUGGGACUGAGACACGGCCCAAACUCCUACGGGAGGCAGCAGUAGGGAAUCUUCGGCAAUGGACGAAAGUCUGACCGAGCAACGCCGCGUGAGUGAAGAAGGUUUUCGGAUCGUAAAACUCUGUUGUUAGAGAAGAACAAGGAUGAGAGUAACUGUUCAUCCCUUGACGGUAUCUAACCAGAAAGCCACGGCUAACUACGUGCCAGCAGCCGCGGUAAUACGUAGGUGGCAAGCGUUGUCCGGAUUUAUUGGGCGUAAAGCGAGCGCAGGCGGUUUCUUAAGUCUGAUGUGAAAGCCCCCGGCUCAACCGGGGAGGGUCAUUGGAAACUGGGAGACUUGAGUGCAGAAGAGGAGAGUGGAAUUCCAUGUGUAGCGGUGAAAUGCGUAGAUAUAUGGAGGAACACCAAUGGCGAAGGCGGCUCUCUGGUCUGUAACUGACGCUGACGCUCGAAAGCGUGGGGAGCAAACAGGAUUAGAUACCCUGGUAGUCCACGCCGUAAAC